rnacentral:rRNA from 1 species
AACGAACGCUGGCGGCGCGUUUUAAGCAUGCAAGUCGAACGGUAGUAUGGUGCUUGCACCAUAUGAGAGUGGCGAACGGGUGAGUAACACGUAAGUAAUCUGCCUAAAAGUUGGGGAUAGCCUGUGGAAACACAGGGUAAUACCGAAUACGCCUGUAGAAUGGGAGUUUUAUAGGGAAAGGAGCUAAGGCUUCGCUUUUAGAUGAGCUUGCGGUUCAUUAGUUAGUUGGUGGGGUAACGGCCUACCAAGACGACGAUGAAUAGCCGGCCUGAGAGGGUGACCGGCCACACUGGGACUGAGAUACGGCCCAGACUCCUACGGGAGCAGCAGCUAAGAAUCUUCCGCAAUGGACGAAAGUCUGACGGAGCGACGCCGCGUGAACGAAGAAGGCCUAACGGUUGUAAAGUUCUUUUCUUGUGGAGGAAUAACCGGUGCAGGGAAUGGCACUGGGAUGACGUUAAACUGGAAUAAGCCCCGGCUAAUUACGUGCCAG